ACCUCACCCAUUUCCCGUCCAAAACAACCACCAACCCUCCAAAACCUCCAAAUCUCACACUUUAACAAUCAACUCCUAAUCUCCAUUGUUCUUUCUCUUUCAAGGAAGUUUGUACUCAAGCCUAACUUUCAAUUUUGACUUUAAUCCAUUGUCAAGGAACUAUUCCAUCCGAAGUUUCAAUUUUGGGCAAGAUUUCGAAUUCGAUAAAAGGAUUGCUUUGCUGUUUUUUCGGGUGACGACUUAUCGCUUUCACUUUAAUUUACGCCAAGCAUACGAAAAAGUAAAGGGUAGAAAAAUAACACAUUAUGAGCUAUACGAGGAGACUCAUGUGAUGAAAAAAAAACUCAACUGAUGAAGAUGUCUGGGUUGAAGCUCGUGCAAAAACUAUCCAUGACGAAUAUAUGCGUCUUGUUGGUGCGUAUUGUAGUAGUUAGCCUCCUGAAAGUCAGGGUGACCCAAUACCCCACCAUGUAGAGGAGGAGUUAUGGGCAAAAGUUGUGGGUCCUGCAAAUAGAGGCCAUUUGGUCGGAUGCCAUAAAAACUUUUUUGGCGAUAAUGUUAGGUUUUCGUCCGGCCCUUCUUACUCUAGCUCUUCAGUUGAUAGAGAAACGAUUGAAAGACUACAAAAUACGGUUUCUCAACUCACUGAACAGCUUGCUGAAUAAAGAGAGGGGCAGAAGAAGACGGAGAAGGCAACAACAUCACAAUUCAAGAAGCUGCAGCAGCAGAUGAGCAAUUUCAUUAGGACUGCGGGGGUUAUUCCUCCAUGUCCUGGUGAUGUAAUUCGGGCUGCAAAGGGUUUAGGCCCCCUGGAUGAUUUCAGCACGGAUGAUGAUAUGGAAGACGAGGAUGAAUUCGAUGAUGAUGACUUUUAGUUUUUUUAUUUUUGUAUGUGUUGUACUUUGAAUUUAGUUAUUUUGUUGUAUGAAACUAUUGUUGUAGUAUUUUCAUACUCACUUUUGUUGGACAUUUUGUAUGUCUUGUACACUUUUGAAAGUAUUUACAAUUGGUUUUUAGUUGUUAUUGCUGUUGUAUUUGAUUUGAUACUGCUGUAUUGCAUUGUUGUUGUU